rnacentral:lncRNA from 1 species
AAACAGGGGCGUAGGAAGCGAGGGGGCACGGGGGGCACGUGCCCCCCAAAUUUUUUUAAAGGGCUAAAAGUGCCCUUUUUUGUGAUAAAAAGUGCCCUUUUUGUGUUGAAAAGUGCCCUUUUUUGUGAGGAAAAGUGCCCCUUUUGUAGAAGCUAAUGUCGCUGUAAAUACUAAAUUAAAACAAUAGGUACCGUUUUUGUGUGGAAAUUUACAAAUUUUUUUUAAAAAUUAGGUCACAAACAUAAAUUUCGGUAUGAUACGACGGAAAAUUUUCCUCAGGAGAAAUUUCUCCCCCCCCCCCGUCGACAACAUUUCCGGGAAAAAUUUUUUAGGUGCCCUUUCCGAUAGUAAUGUGCCCCUACAAGCCGGUGC